AAAAAUUAUAGAAUUCAUUUUCUGUAAACCCAAUCUGUGUAUUUGUACCUGUUGCUUCCGUGAGACUGCGAACGCAAGUUUCCUCCGGUGCCGUUCUUUGGAAUGGAUGCUGGGGAGUGCUCACGGGAGGUAAUCAUAAACUCUGUUUUUUCUGAACUCAGUCUGAAUAUUGUUUUUAAAUAAACUUUA
rnacentral:misc_RNA from 1 species